AGACGCUAACCAUGCAAGUCGAAGAGAAAGUGGAGCACUCCAUGAGUACAGUGGCGUACGGGUGAGUAACACGUGGAUCAUCUGCCCUUUUGUGGGGAAUACCGAUGGGAAACCGUCGACAAUACCGCAUAAGCCCGAGAGGGGAAAGCAGCAAUGCGCAGAAGGAGGAGUCCGCGGUCGAUUAGUUAGUUGGCGGGGUAAAGGCCCACCAAGACUGUGAUCGAUAGCCGGCCUGAGAGGGCACACGGCCACACUGGCACUGAAACACGGGCCAGACUCCUACGGGAGGCAGCAGUGGGGAAUCUUGCACAAUGGAGGAAACUCUGAUGCAGCGACGCCGCGUGAGCGAUGAAGCCCUUCGGGGUGUAAAGCUCUUUCGGCAGGGAAGAUUAUGACGGUACCUGCAAAAGCAGCUGCGGCUAACUACGUGCCAGCAGCCGCGGUAAUACGUAAGCAGCAAGCGUUGUUCGGAGUUACUGGGCGUAAAGGGUGCGUAGGCGGCUUUUUAAGUUUGGUGUGAAAUCUCCCGGCUCAACCGGGAGGGUGCGCCGAAUACUGAGAGGCUAGAGUGUGGGAUAGGAAAGUGGAAUUCCUGGUGUANCGGUGAAAUGCGUAAAUAUCAGGAGGAACACCGGUGGUGUAAACGGCUUUCUGGAACAUAACUGACCCUGAGGCACGAAAGCGUUGGUACCAAAACAGAUUAAAUACCCUGGUAAUCCGCGCCCUAGACGAAGCAUAAUUUGGGGGGGGCCAUUCAUUUAGGUCCAGUGCCGGAACUAACCCGUUAAAUUAGCCCCCUGAGGAAUAAAGUCCGCAAGGGUGAAACUUAAGAGUAAUGAGCGGGGGGCCCGCACCAGGAGGGAAACAUGGGGAUUUUAUUCAAGACAAUCGCAAAAGACUUUCG
rnacentral:rRNA from 1 species